rnacentral:lncRNA from 1 species
UUGGAUCAAUUUGUGGCCGUUUUGGAGCCAUUUGGGGCCAUUUUGGGGCCAUUUUGAGCCAUUUCAGGACAAUUUGGGGCCGUUUUGGGGGCAUUUGUUGCCAUAUGGGGCCAUUUGUUGCCAUUUUUGGGACCAUUUCAUGUCAUUUGUGGCCAUUUGGGGACCGUUUGGGCCAUUUGGUGCCAUAUUGAGCCAUUUUGGGUCUAUUUGGGGCGAUUUGGGGCUGUUUUGGGACCAUUUGUUGCCAUUUUGGGGCCAUAUAGGGCCAUUUUGGUGCCAUUUUGGGAUGAUUUGGGGCUGUUUUGGGGCCAUUUGGGGUGAUUUGUUGCCAUUUGUUGCCAUUUUGGGGCUGUUUUGGGACCAUUUGGUGCCAUUUGGGGCUAUUUGGUGCCAUAUAGGGCCAUUUUGGGUCUAUUUGGGGUGGUUUGGGGUCCAUUUGGGGCGAUUUGGGGCUGUUUGUGGCCAUAUAGAGUCAUUUUGGGGCCAUUUUGGGCCUUUUUGGGGCCACUUGGGGCGAUUUGGGGACAUUUGGUGCCAUUUGUUGCCAUUUUGGGUCCAUAUAGGGCCAUUUUGGUGCCAUUUUGGGACAAUCUGGGGCUGUUUUGGGAUGAUUUGGUGCCAUUUGUUGCCAUUUUGGGGCCAUAUAUAGGGCCAUUUUGGUGCCAUUUUGGGGUGAUUUGUGGUGGUUUGGGGCUGUUUUGGGGCCAUUUGUUGCUGUUUUGGGGGCAUUUGAGGCCAUUUGUUGCGAUAUAGGGCCGUUUGGGGUCCAUUAGGGUAAUUUGGGGCCGUUUGGGGUCCAUUUGUUGCAAUUUUGGGCCGUUUGGGGUCCAUUUGUUGUGAUUUGGGGCCACUUUGGGUCCAUUUGGGGCUGUUUUGCAUCCAUUUGUUGCCAUUUUGGGCCAUUUUGGGUCCAUUUGUUGCGAUUUGGGGCUGUUUGGGGCCGUUUGGGGUCCAUUUGUUGCGAUUUGGGGCAGUUUGGGGUCCAUUUGUUGUUGUUUUGGGACCAUUUGUUGCCAUUUUGGGGCCGUUUUGGGUCCAUUUGUUGCGAUUUGGGGCCGUUUGGGGCCGUUUUGGGUCCAUUUGUUGCGAUUUGGGGCUGUUUGGGGUCCAUUCGUUGCUGUUUUGGGACCAUUUGUUGCAAUUUGUUGCAAUUUGGGGCCGUUUUGGGGCCAUUUUGGUCCAUUUGGGGUCCAUUUGUUGCAAUUUGGGGCCAUUUUGGGGCCAUUUGUUGCGAUUUGGGGCCAUUUGGGGUGCAUUUGUGGCGACUUGGGGCCGUUUGGGGGCCAUUUGUUGCAAUUUGGGCCAUUUGGGGUCCAUUUGUUGCAAUUUGGGCCAUUUGGUGUCCAUUUGUUGCUGUUUUGGGCCCAUUUGUUGCAAUUUGUUGCAAUUUGGGGCCAUUUGGAGUCCAUGUGUUGCUAUUUGGGGCCGUUUUCGGUCCAUUUGUUGCGAUUUUGGGACCAUUUGUUGCGAUUUGGGGCCAUUUUGGGGCCAUUUGUUGCAAUUUGGGGCCGUUCGGGGUCCCUUUGUUGCAAUUUGGGGCCGUUUGGGGUCCAUUUGUUGCAAUUUGGGGCCAUUUGUUGCAAUUUGGGGCCGUUUGGGGCCAUUUGUUGCGAUUUUGGGGCCAUUUGUUGCAAUUUGGGGCCAUUUGGGGGCGAUUUGGGGCUGUUUGGGGCCGUUUGGGUCCAUUUGGGGCCAAUUUGUUGCAAUUUGGGGCCGUUUUGGGUCCAUUUGUUGUGAUUUGGGGCCGUUUGGGGCCAUUUUGGGUCCAUUUGUUGCAACUUGGGGCCAUUUGGGGUCCAUUUGUGGCGAUUUGGGGCCGUUUUGGGUCCAUUUGUGGUGAUUUGGGGCCGUUUUGGGGGCAUUUUGGGGCCAUUUGUUGCAAUUUGGGGCCAUUUGGGGUCCAUCUGUGGCGAUUUGGGGCCAUUUUGGGGCCAUUUGUUGCAACUUGGGGCCUUUUUGGUUCCAUUUGUGGCGAUUCGGGGCCGUUUGGGGUCUAUUUGGGGCCACUUGGGGUCUAUUUGGGGCCACUUGGGGUCUAUGUGGGGCCAUUUGGGGUCUCUUUGUGGCGAUGUGGGGCGGUUUUGGGGCCCACCUGGAGAUGCAGGCCCUGCACCCAGUGCCCCACAGGCCGGUACGCCCCGCUGCCGUUGCUCCACUGGAACUGGAAGAUGUCGUAGCGCCCCGGCGCGUCGCCGUUCUCGUUGAACAUCACCGGCGUGCCGGCGCUGCCUGCGCCAGUACGGACCGGUAUCAACCAGUACGGACCAGUGUAAACCAGUACGGACCGGUGUAAACCAGUACGGACCAGUAUAAACCAGUACGGACCGGUAUAAACCAGUACGGACCGGUAUCAACCAGUACGGACCGGUGUAAACCAGUACGGACCAGUGUAAACCAAUACGAACCGGUAUAAACCAGUAUGGAGCGGUAUAAACCAGUACGGACCAGUAUAAACCAGUACGGAGCGGUAUAAACCAGUACGGAGCGGUAUAAACCAGUACGGACCGGUGUAAACCAGUACGGACCAGUAUCAACCAGUACGGACCGGUGUAAACCAGUACGGAGCAGUAUCAACCAGUACGGACCAGUAUAAACCAGUACGGACCAGUAUCAACCAGUACGGACCGGUGUAAACCAGUACGGACCAGUAUCAACCAGUACGGACCGGUGUAAACCAGUACGGACCGGUAUAAACCAGUACAGACCGGUGUAAACCAGUAUGGACCAGUGUAAACCAGUACGGACCGGUGUAAACCAGUACGGACCAGUAUAAACCAGUAUGGAUCGGUAUAAACCAGUACGGACCAGUGUAAACCAGUACGGACCAGUAUAAACCAGUACAGACCGGUGUAAACCAGUACGGACCGGUGUAAACCAGUACGGACCAGUAUAAACCAGUACGGACCAGUGUAAACCAGUACAGACCGGUGUAAACCAGUACGGACCAGUAUAAACCAGUACGGAGCGGUAUAAACCAAUACGAACCAGUAUAAACCAGUACGGACCAGUAUAAACCAGUACAGACCGGUAUAAACCAGUACGGACCGGUGUAAACCAGUAUGGACCAGUAUAAACCAGUACAGACCAGUGUAAACCAGUACAGACCGGUAUAAACCAGUACGGACCAGUGUAAACCAGUACAGACCAGUGUAAACCAGUACAGACCGGUAUAAACCA